rnacentral:rRNA from 1 species
GAUGAACGCUGGCGGCAUGCCUAAGACAUGCAAGUCGUACGAAGUGGCCCAUUGAUGAUUGAGUGCUUGCACAAGAUUUGAUUUGGAUUCCCACUUAGUGGCGCAAGGGUGAGUAACGCGUAGGUUAUCUGCCUUCGAGUUUGGAAUAACAAUUAGAAAUGAUUGCUAAUGCCGGAUUAUAUUUAAGAUGAUACGUUGUCUUAAAUUAAAAGGAGCCCUUUAAAAGCUUCGCUUGAAGAUGAGCCUGCGUCGUAUUAGCUAGUUGGUGGGGUAAUGGCCUACCAAGGCAACGAUGCGUAGCCGACCUGAGAGGGUGAUCGGCCACACUGGGACUGAGACAGGCCCAGACUCCUACGGGAGACAGCAGUUAGG